UACGGAGGGAGCUAGCGUUGUUCGGAAUUACUGGGCGUAAAGCGCACGUAGGCGGCUUUGUAAGUUAGGGGUGAAAGCCCGGUGCUCAACACCGGAACUGCCUUUAAGACUGCAUCGCUUGAAUCCAGGAGAGGUGAGUGGAAUUCCGAGUGUAGAGGUGAAAUUCGUAGAUAUUCGGAGGAACACCAGUGGCGAAGGCGGCUCACUGGCUCGACACUGACGCUGAGGUGCGAAAGCGUGGGGAGCGAACAGG
rnacentral:rRNA from 1 species